AGAACGUCGCAAGACAGUUCGGUCCCUAUCUGUGGUUUUCGCAAGUAAAUUGAGAGUACAUUAACUUAGUACGAUAGGACAGUUUCGUAAGUACCGCUGGUGUAUCAGUUGUGCCGCCAGGUGCAAUGCUGAGUAGCUAUGUACGGACAGGAUAAACGCUGAAAGCAUCUAAGCGUGAAACCUUCCUCAAGAUGAGUUUACUUUUAAGGGCCGUCAAAGACUAUGACGUUGAUAGGCUACAGGUGUAAAACUGGUAACAGUAAAGCCGAGUAGUACUAAUUGCCCGUACGCUUUAAUUUU
rnacentral:rRNA from 1 species